GACGUACACACGCAACCCUAUCCCUACGGUCCUAGAACUGGGGGUUACUAUCUUGGAAUCUGGGGGCACUCCAGAUUAUGGGCUCAGACUGCAGACUUCUGCCUACUCCGGCCUUAGCCUUUCAAAGACCCGAAGGAUUCCUGAGCUUUUUGCCCUAGGUGCUGGGGCAGCGAUGACUCACCGCAGCACCCCCUCCCACUUCGCCAAGCUGCCGUCUCCGCCCACCCCCAAACAAUCCCGACAUCGCACUUCGGGCGCCAGGGCUCCGGGCGCUUUGCUGGGGGCUAAAGGGAUUUAUCCCUUUCCUAGAAUCCCAGCAGGAAUUCCUAGAACUACCCCCUCCCAGGCUUCAAGCUUGCCACCCUCCCCACCGGAUCCUUCCAUUGCGAGGCAGAGAAGGAUGCGCUUGGGAACUUGAAGACCCACGAACGACAGCGCACGGAGGGAGCAGCCCAGUGUCCGGGGGCAAAGUCCUCAAGGUUCAUUCAUUCAGCAAGCCUCUGUCCAGCCUUUACUGUGUGCUGAGUGAAAAGCUGAGGAUAAGGAAAGAGCAAGACUCCCAAGAAACUCAUGUCUAGCUGAAAGCCAAAACAUGCCACAAUUUUGCUAUAUUUCUCUCCAACAAGGAUUUGUAUAUGUUCACCUUCUCCUCAAGUAGCACCUGGACCUGCUUCUUUCCCUUCGAAUGCUGAGGGCUCAGUCUUCAAGUUUCGUUAUGAAACAGGGUGUACCAUCAGAGACGCAGGUCACAACCUAAAUAAGAAGAGUCUGACUUUUGAUCCAGGACUGCUGACUUGGAAGCCCCAUUGGUAACUACUAUGCCAUACUCCAUGUCUGUUUUCUCCAUCACUGUUUGAAGUUUAACAUGCCCGUCUUUUCUGUUGGCAGUCUUUAAGUGGUCAUUUUCCCACCAUGACUGCUUGGCUCCACAGUUUAGUUUUUAUUGACUCUUUUGAACAUUCCCAGUGUGUGGAAAUUUUUAAAAGAGCCCUCAAGCCAUUUCUGGAAUCUACGACACAGAGUUUAGAUCUCAUUCUAUUAAGAGUUUGAAUCUAAACCCACUUCUGAAAAGUGAAAGUAUGUACUCAGUAAAUUCCUGAAACUGACAAGAACUCUUUGGCUAUUAUUCAAAAAUGUCUAAUACCAUGAACUAAAAUGGUGAGUUAUUUCCGCACUUCACACACAACCCAUCCAACCCUUGAAAGUAGAGUGUUAAACUAUGUUUAUCACUGGGUGCAAAACCGUUUCCCCUUGAAGAUAAUCUGAAAUAAUUUGAUAAUGAUGGUGGAUUAGAAGGCAGUGUUGAUUCAAAAUAUUUAAAUCUGCUAUGCUUACAUUUUUAAAAAGUGAACACAUUUUGUAUACAAUAAACUAUUCAUAUAAGAUUUUUCAAUUAAACUUCACAUGCUGCUAACUAGUUAUGACAUUAGUAAACACAGCUUUUCCCUCUUAUAUUAACAUAGCUGCAUUGAGUGUGAACUCACUUUUAGUUCUUUUUGCCCAAACUAUAGUCAGUUUUUCAUAUAUGAACAAUAUAUUUUUAUGUGGGCAGGCCCAGAAAAAGCCAAUAUUCACCAUGUAUUUUAUAGUUUCUGCAGAUAAAUACUAGUAGAGGUGUUGGUUUUCUAUCCAGUUUAAUUAAAAAAAUAAAUUUGGUUUAAAGUAUUUUUCCCACUUAUAUACAAUAUUAUCAAAUAAUAGAAAUUAGUCAUUUAAAAAACUUUAGACAUUUAAUUUUUUUAUGGUUUUAUAAUUUGAAUUAAUGGCAAAAAUCAAAAACUUAAGAGUUUCCUCCCCUUGCUUUGGAAUACACAAUCAAUUCUGAAGACCAUUCCCUUGAGCUGCUAAGAGGCAAACUUGUUAGCAAAUCAAGAAGUGACCCCGUGGACUUGCAUAAACACCAUUACACACCCAACAGGAAGGGUUGUGACCAAGUAAACAGCACAAUUCAAACUUAAACACCAGCUAUACAAUUGUUCAGUCCCAUUUAAGUUGGUGACAAAUGCUAUUUAAUCCCAAGUAACCACUCUUUCAUUCAUCACGAUUCCCAUGUAGCUCUAUAAUCUAUUGUAGCAGAAGAUUCCUAAGAAAUCAUCUUCAUUCUCCCUAGAGCUGGUCAGCCCUAUUUUAGAAAUCCUAAAGUAAAUACUUAUAAUCCCUGUACUCUUUAAGUGAUCACUCAAAGAGGACAUGACAUGUUCUUUUAAGGACCAAACAGCUGGUUCAUUUCCCAAUUAGGGGAGAGUGCUGUAAAUGAUAGUUCUAAAUAAAUAUAUAAUCUACUGAUAAGGACAAUGUAAAUAUUUAUGACAAUUAGGAAAAUUAACGUACAUGUAUUUGAAUACUCUCCAGAAGAUGAAAUCUAUCCAUUGUAACAUUUGUCAGAAAGAGUCACUUUGGUGGAUUCUUCUCAGGAAGUUGUGUUACUUGGCUGUUUUGCUGCUAAGCUGCCUCAGGCUCUAGAAGGGUUGUACAGGAGGGAGAGUCUUAAGAACCCUUUCAGGGAUUAUAAGAAUGAUUUUAUGAAACUUACUGGCAUUUGUAAAAUAAUCUCAAGAUGUGGAUUAAAAAAAAA